AGAGAGUGAGCUGGGUGUGGUAGAACAGGUUGGGUAGAAGAUGUCCCCUGACCCAUGUCUAUGUUAUGUUAUGUUAUGUUCGGCUAUGCUAGGAAUAGCAGACCAUGAGGAAAAGAAAUGGAUUUGUGUGGACUCUCCUGCUUUUAGCUGUGGACUUCCCCAGUUUAAUCCCCAGUGUGUCAGCCAAGAUGGCAGCUGUUACACUGUCAUUCACAAGCAGGUGCUGAGCUCUUGGGGGAUGAAGGAUGUGCUGCUGGCCAACACAGAGAUCAACCUGUAUGCCACCAACAUCCCAACCGCCUGGAACUAACGUCAGUCAAGGAAAGCAAACUGUAUUCUGUUUAGCCUCAUACAUCAACAGAACUGUUGAAUGCAUUGCUGGUGAAGAUGAAAGAAGCAGAAAGAACCCAAUUUGAAUCUCAGAGUUAAGCAAGGAUGACCAGAACUCCAUGAUGCUGAGAGAUCAGUCCUGUCCUUUCCUUGGUGCAAUUACAUGACCACUUUAGGCUCUCAGGCGUGUGAGGAGGGAGAAGAAAAACAAGAUGUGCAAGGAUGUAAGUCAGGCUAUAACCAUGAACACCUAGUCAAUGCCAUCAAACAGCUGUCAAAGGAGAUGCUACCAUCUUCCUUGCUGUUGAAAGGCAACCCAAGAGCCCCUGAAGACACAGUGUCUGGGACAUGUAGGUGAGAAUUCUUCAAUCUGUUCUUCAAAUCUCAAUCAUCUAGAUGUUUGCCUACAGAAAGGGCAACAGCAAUUCAUUGUAUUAAAUAUAAAUGAAUACAGUAGAAAUUCUUCCCUGGAUAUUCUAGAUACAUCACUGUUAUUGCCCAUCUCAGAAGGCUCAUUGGGUGAUGACUUGCCAUCUCCUCUUUUAUUGUCCAGUUCAUGAGUUAAUCCUUCUGGCUGCUGUAUGAAGCUGUAGGCAAUUAAUAAUAAUUCAUCACUGUUUGCUGAAAGCAUAUUGUGUUGUGUGAAAGAGAUGUAAUCUCAAAAUAUAUGAGGUGAAGCAAGGAGUGGAAUUUGAGUGUUAUUGCACUGGGGUUUUAUUAAUAGGUUAGUGACUGUAGAAAUAACAACAACAAAAUCUAUGUGUAUAAUUUGAAGGCAAACUCUCCCCUCUACUAAUCCAGCCUUUCAGACCUGCCGUAAACAAUUGCAUUUCAAGGGAAAGUUGCUGAGAAAAACA